rnacentral:pre_miRNA from 14 species
UUCCAGUGCUGGUCCUGGUGAUCUUAUCCACCAUCCCUGAAAGAUCCCCAGAAUGGGGAGACCCUCACUCAAGUCUCGGGAUGAUGCGACCCCCCAAGAACUCACGUGAGACC